rnacentral:rRNA from 1 species
UGGAGGCAGCAGUGGGGAAUAUUGGUCAAUGGGCGGAAGCCUGAACCAGCCAUCCCGCGUGCAGGAAGAAGGCGCUAUGCGUUGUAAACUGCUUUUGCAGGGGAAGAAUGUUGGCUACGUGUAGUCAAUUGACGGUACCUUGUGAAUAAGCAUCGGCUAACUCCGUGCCAGCAGCCGCGGUAAUACGGAGGAUGCGAGCGUUAUCCGGAUUUAUUGGGUUUAAAGGGUGCGUAGGCGGAUUGAUAAGUCAGUGGUGAAAUACUGCAGCUUAACUGUAGAAUUGCCGUUGAUACUGUCAGUCUUGAGUAUGGUUAAGGUAGGCGGAAUGUGUAAUGUAGCGGUGAAAUGCUUAGAUAUUACACAGAACACCGAUUGCGAAGGCAGCUUACUGAGCCAAGACUGACGCUGAGGCACGAAAGCGUGGGGAGCGAACAGGAUUAGAUACCCGUGUAGUCCC